rnacentral:rRNA from 1 species
CAGUCGCCACGGGAAUACGAAGGGGGCUAGCGUUGCUCGGAAUUACUGGGCGUAAAGGGAGCGUAGGCGGACAUUUAAGUCAGGGGUGAAAUCCCGGGGCUCAACCUCGGAAUUGCCUUUGAUACUGGGUGUCUUGAGUAUGAGAGAGGUAUGUGGAACUCCGAGUGUAGAGGUGAAAUUCGUAGAUAUUCGGAAGAACACCAGUGGCGAAGGCGACAUACUGGCUCAUUACUGACGCUGAGGCUCGAAAGCGUGGGGAGCAAACAGGAUUAGAUACCCGUGUAGUCCCUGUCUCUUAUAC